GGGCAUCACUGUUCGGACAGUUUUACAACCUGUUAGCGUAAAUCUGCGCUUAAAGAAGUGCCGACAAUCAACAACAAACGCUGCAGACAAAAGGAACAAUUUGCUGACGUCACGCCGGAAUGCUGCGACAGGCGAACAAAAUUGAGAGUGAUUUCAGGGCGAAAAAUCAGGUGGAAAAUCGGGGAAGAAAAUGAUUAAAGAAAUAACGAGAACGUGGGGAAAAUACAUAGUUAGCCCGCC
rnacentral:lncRNA from 1 species